rnacentral:rRNA from 1 species
AACGAACGCUGGCGGCAUGCCUAACACAUGCAAGUCGAACGAGACCUUCGGGUCUAGUGGCGCACGGGUGCGUAACGCGUGGGAACCUGCCCUUAGGUUCGGAAUAACUCCCCGAAAGGGGUGCUAAUACCGGAUAAUGUCUUCGGACCAAAGAUUUAUCGCCUUUGGAUGGACCCGCGUUGGAUUAGCUAGUUGGUAGGGUAAAAGCCUACCAAGGCGACGAUCCAUAGCUGGUCUGAGAGGAUGAUCAGCCACACUGGGACUGAGACACGGCCCAGACUCCUACGGGAGGCAGCAGUGGGGAAUAUUGGACAAUGGGCGAAAGCCUGAUCCAGCAAUGCCGCGUGAGUGAUGAAGGCCUUAGGGUUGUAAAGCUCUUUUACCCGGGAUGAUAAUGACGGUACCGGGAGAAUAAGCUCCGGCUAACUCCGUG